ACGUUAGGAAGAAGCUGUGAAUGUUGAAGAUAACAAGAGUGGACAACGGCAAUAGGACGGACAGCGAGAAGCAGAGCCGGAUCCACUCAGUCUGCAUAGCUCAGAUAAUUCAAGAAUGAUAUUAGUUUCUGCACCCCUAACUGAUACCAAUUAUCUUGCCUGGUACCGCUCUGUAACUCUACCUUCGAAAGUCAAAGAUAAACUAGGGUUUAUAAAUGACGGUAUUCGUAUGCUUGCUGUUGGAACUCCUAAAUAUGUAAAAUGGAC
rnacentral:lncRNA from 1 species